AUAUUUUAUUUACUUAUAUUUUCAAUACUACAUUAUCGUUUCAAUGGAUAAAUAAGAAUUACACAUGACAAACUACUAACGGUGAAAUUCGAAAUUUGAAGAAUGAUUGAACAAUACAAUAUAAUACUUGGAUAUUCUCAUAGUUAAGUCGAAAAUGGAGAAUUUUUUUCACUAAACAUUUAUAUUUUUCAAUACUAAUAUUAAUAUUUCAUGGUGUCCCAAUGUGAGAAAAAAAACUUACACAUAAUAAAAUGGGAACAUAUCAUCCCAUCUUGAUUCUUGAAAGAAAGAAAGAAAGGAAAGAAAAAUACAAGGCAGAGUAUACAAUGUGCUUUCUUACAUACAUAGAGAUAAAAGAGGCUCGUGAAAUUAACAUGACGGAUCGAAAUUAAGGUACAAGACCAACGUACGGAACAGGUACUAUGUACCUAGGAUUCAACGGGAUCUCCAUUGUGUUCUGUCUGAAAACUGUUCCAACAGCCUCGACGACGAAGGCUACGAACUCUAAGGCAAGCUUAAAUAGUUCUAUGCACAUUUCAAUCCUCGAAAUCACCAUUUCUCCUUUCUUCUUCUUGUUUCCUCUCUCUCUCUCUCUAAACUGAGUUACUUAUAGUGUCUCUCUCUCUAUGUAUAUGUGAGUAUAUAUAUGGUUCAGACAUGAAUUUGUGAAAACGUUGGUAAUGGCUAACACCGCCUUUGGGACUCUCAAGGGACCAGAAAGACCAGCAUCUCACCCCUGUCCGACCCCAUCCCAACAUAAUUAUAGGGUUAAAUGCACUAUGGAUCGUUCAACUUCGAGCAGAGUUGUAUCGGGGUCGCUUAUCUUUAAUUUUGUGCAAUCAAAUCAUAAGUCUAGCAUUUUUCUUGCAGAUGUGAUCACUUGACUUCAAUUUGGUACAACUAAAUCAUCCCAUCUCGAUUUUCUUGCAAAUCUUGCCACUUUGCCUAUCGUCAGCAUAACUAACGUAUUUGUUGAUAUCGACAUUCAAACUAAUAGAUAGCUGACAUAUUUUUUGUUCAUAAGUUUUUUUAAAAUGUACUUUCUUUUAUGAUGGACCCAAUAUAUUUUAACGUUCAUGUCAUUAUAUUAUACUAAAUAUUUCAUGGUGUCCCAAUGUGAGAAAAAAAACUUACACAUAAUAAAAUGGGAACAUAUCAUCCCAUCUUGAUUCUUGAAAGAAAGAAAGAAAGGAAAGAAAAAUACAAGGCAGAGUAUACAAUGUGCUUUCUUACAUACAUAGAGAUAAAAGAGGCUCGUGAAAUUAACAUGACGGAUCGAAAUUAAGGUACAAGACCAACGUACGGAACAGGUACUAUGUACCUAGGAUUCAACGGGAUCUCCAUUGUGUUCUGUCUGAAAACUGUUCCAACAGCCUCGACGACGAAGGCUACGAACUCUAAGGCAAGCUUAAAUAGUUCUAUGCACAUUUCAAUCCUCGAAAUCACCAUUUCUCCUUUCUUCUUCUUGUUUCCUCUCUCUCUCUCUCUAAACUGAGUUACUUAUAGUGUCUCUCUCUCUAUGUAUAUGUGAGUAUAUAUAUGGUUCAGACAUGAAUUUGUGAAAACGUUGGUAAUGGCUAACACCGCCUUUGGGACUCUCAAUGGACCAGAAAGGCCAGCAUCGCAUCCCUGUCCGACCCCAACCCAACAGAAUUAUAGGGUUAAAUGCACUAUGGAUCGUUCAACUUUGAGCGGAGUUGUAUCGAGG
rnacentral:lncRNA from 1 species